GUUUGGGCCCCUUGCCCAAUUAACAAAAAUUGGACUUUUCCAAAGCCAUAUUCCGACUGACAAGAAGUCGUGAAUUCUGAUUUAGCGACCACUUCGGCUCCUGAGAAAAGUUAGCUGACAAAAGGAGAGGAAACUCCAAGAAGAGGCGACGUUUGGAUCAUAAACGAAACUUGCUUUCUUAAUUUACUUAAACUGUGCUUGCGUGUGUUGUUUUUUAUCCCACAUCGGGAAGAAAGCAACGAAUGGCUUGAGGACUUUGCUAUAAAAAGCUGACAAGAAGUCUGAGGAGAUAUGAUCCUUCAGGCAGUUUAACGGGGAUAUGAUGAGUGGUCACGGCUCGCUAUAACUCUGCGAGAUGGGUGUCCGCCUCAAGCCUGGUUACGACAAUCUGGGCACUCCCAUCUUACCUAUCUGAUCCCUAUCUUGAAGGAGUCAUUCAAAUUAGCGAUUCUUCACGACAAUCGAUUAAAAAAAUGAGUUGUUGGAUUUUUUUAGUGCGUUUGAGUUGAACUUCAGUCAAUUAUCUAGAGAGCCACAGACAUCCUAAUUCGAUGAGACUGAGCUCUACCUAGAGAAUAAAACCUGAUGUGGAGCUUCAGUCAGUCAAUACUAAUUGCAACAUUAAAACAUUAAGUGUAGUCUUUGCGCUGACAAGAACAAGACCAACAAGAAGUGGCCAUUAACAUAAUUCUUUAUUUUCCCUUUUGACCAACACUAAAGCGGUGCUGAUGAAGACUACAGUGGUGCUGAUUAAGACCUUCAAAAGAGCGGUGAUAAUGAGCUUCAGGUACCCUUGGACACCAAACCACUUGCUUAAUCUUUUCAUUCACAGGGCAAUAAACUCUGCCGAGGUUAGCUUUUUCAUCAGUUUUAUGGUGUUUUGUGCUGAAAGAAUUUUUGUUUUGGUAUUUUCUGCAUUAUUCGUGUUCGUAAAUAAAAUUUUAUAUUCUUAGUUUUGAAUGCCGCGGUAGGUAUAAAUUCAACUGAACUUAAUUAAGCCUGUCGAGUAAUUUUGAAUGUAUGUAAUGCUGUGUUUACAUGAAUGGUAACCGGGUAUGUCCUGUUGCCUCUGAUUUCUUUAUUGAUUGAAUUCAAAAUUCUAAAAAGAAGGCCAUAUCUCGAGGAA